GUGGGGAAUAUUGCGCAAUGGGGGAAACCCUGACGCAGCGACGCCGUGUGAGGGAAGAAGGCUUUCGGGUCGUAAACCUCUGUCAGAAAGGAAGAACCUCCCAAGUCCGAAUAGGGCUUGGGACUGACGGUACUUUCAAAGGAAGCACCGGCUAACUCCGUGCCAGCAGCCGCGGUAAUACGGAGGGUGCAAGCGUUAAUCGGAAUCACUGGGCGUAAAGCGCGCGUAGACCGCGUUGUAAGUCGGACGUGAAAGCCCUCGGCUCAACCGGGGAACUGCGUUCGAUAGUGCGAGGCUUGAGUCCUGGAGAGGGUGGCGGAAUUCCGGGUGUAGGAGUGAAAUCCGUAGAUAUCCGGAGGAACACCGGUGGCGAAGGCGGCCACCUGGACAGGUACUGACGCUGAGGCGCGAAAGCGUGGGGAGCAAACAGGAUUAGAAACCCCGGUAGUCC
rnacentral:rRNA from 1 species